rnacentral:lncRNA from 7 species
GCUGGGCUCAGCUGGUCACCUCCAUCCACCUCCCAACAAACUAGCAUGCACGCCCAUGGAAUCCGGCCAUGACAGCCCGCAACGGAGGGCCAUGCCGUAUCGCAUAUAAGACCCCCUCUCCUCAUCCACCUCUCCGCCCAUCAAAUUUUUCGUGAGCUACCAUCGCCGAGCCAUCGUACAGAAUAGAGAGAGGGAAAGAGAGGUUGGCCGCCCCGCUGACUGCUCGGGGCGGCGCCGUCGGUGGUCCGGAGUCGGACCAGGGAGCUUCACCAGGUUGCACUGUGGUGUUUCGGAGCCUCGUCGCGUGAGGGCGAAUAGUGGGGAUCCGACGAUUUCUCACCGGAGAUCAGGGAAACAUUGCCGGCCGCCCGCCACCGUGGCCAAGGGAGUCUGCGCUGCGAUUGCCGGUGAGACACAUCCUUCGAAGUUCACUGCCUUCCCUACUACGUCUAGAAGCGAUCCAUUCAGCAUAGGCCA